rnacentral:rRNA from 1 species
AGAAUUCGCCCUUGCGGAUCCGCGCCGCUGCAGAGUUUGAUCCUGGCUCAGAAUCAACGCUGGCGGCGUGCCUCAGACAUGCAAGUCGAACGGUUAAGACUCCCUUCGGGGAGUGUAUAAAGUGGCGCACGGGUGAGUAACACGUGGGUAAUCUACCUCCGGGUGGGGGAUAACCUGCCGAAAGGUGGGCUAAUACCGCAUAAUGCAGCGGCACCGAAUGGUGACAGUUGUUAAAGGAGCAAUCCGCCUGGAGAGGAGCCUGCGGCCGAUUAGCUAGUUGGUAGGGUAAUGGCCUACCAAGGCGACGAUCGGUAGCCGGCCUGAGAGGGCGGUCGGCCACACUGGCACUGAAACACGGGCCAGACUUCUACGGGAGGCAGCAGUCGGGAAUUUUGGGCAAUGGGCGAAAGCUGACCCAGCAACGGCGCGUGAGGGAUGAAGUCUUCGGGAUGUAAACUCGUAAGAUGCGAAGAAUAACUGACGUGGCAUUGGUAAGCCCGGGUAAUUAGGGGCAGAAGC